AUUGAACGCUGGCGGCAUGCUUUACACAUGCAAGUCGGACGGCAGCACAGAGAAGCUUGCUUCUUGGGUGGCGAGUGGCGAACGGGUGAGUAAUAUAUCGGAACGUACCGAGUAAUGGGGGAUAACUAAUCGAAAGAUUAGCUAAUACCGCAUAUUCUCUGAGGAGGAAAGCAGGGGACCUUCGGGCCUUGCGUUAUUCGAGCGGCCGAUAUCUGAUUAGCUAGUUGGUGGGGUAAAGGCCUACCAAGGCGACGAUCAGUAGCGGGUCUGAGAGGAUGAUCCGCCACACUGGGACUGAGACACGGCCCAGACUCCUACGGGAGGCAGCAGUGGGGAAUUUUGGACAAUGGGCGCAAGCCUGAUCCAGCCAUGCCGCGUGUCUGAAGAAGGC
rnacentral:rRNA from 1 species